rnacentral:rRNA from 1 species
AGCGAACGCUGGCGGCAGGCUUAACACAUGCAAGUCGAGCGGGCGUAGCAAUACGUCAGCGGCAGACGGGUGAGUAACGCGUGGGAACGUACCUUUUGGUUCGGAACAACACAGGGAAACUUGUGCUAAUACCGGAUAAGCCCUUACGGGGAAAGAUUUAUCGCCGAAAGUAUCGGCCCGCGUCUGAUUAGCUAGUUGGUGAGGUAACGGCUCACCAAGGCGACGAUCAGUAGCUGGUCUGAGAGGAUGAUCAGCCACAUUGGGACUGAGACACGGCCCAAACUCCUACGGGAGGCAGCAGUGGGGAAUAUUGGACAAUGGGCGCAAGCCUGAUCCAGCCAUGCCGCGUGAGUGAUGAAGGCCCUAGGGUUGUAAAGCUCUUUUGUGCGGGAAGAUAAUGACGGUACCGCAAGAAUAAGCCCCGGCUAACUUCGUGCCAGCCGCCGCGGUAA